AGUGAACGCUGGCGGUAGGCCUAACACAUGCAAGUCGAACGGCAGCACAGUGAGAGCUUGCUCUUACGGGUGGCGAGUGGCGGACGGGUGAGGAAUACAUCGGAAUCUACUUUUUCGUGGGGGAUAACGUAGGGAAACUUACGCUAAUACCGCAUACGACCUACGGGUGAAAGCAGGGGAUCUUCGGACCUUGCGCGAUUGAAUGAGCCGAUGUCGGAUUAGCUAGUUGGCGGGGUAAAGGCCCACCAAGGCGACGAUCCGUAGCUGGUCUGAGAGGAUGAUCAGCCACACUGGAACUGAGACACGGUCCAGACUCCUACGGGAGGCAGCAGUGGGGAAUAUUGGACAAUGGGCGCAAGCCUGAUCCAGCCAUACCGCGUGGGUGAAGAAGGCCUUCGGGUUGUAAAGCCCUUUUGUUGGGUAAGAAAAGCGGCAGGUUAAUACCCCGCUGUUCUGACGGUACCCAAAGAAUAAGCACCGGCUAACUUCGUG
rnacentral:rRNA from 1 species